rnacentral:rRNA from 1 species
AUACGUAGGUGACAAGCGUUAUCCGGAUUUACUGGGUGUAAAGGGCGUGUAGGCGGUUUAGCAAGUCAGAAGUGAAAUUCCCGGGCUUAACUUGGGCGCUGCUUCUGAAACUGCUUUACUUGAGUGCUGGAGAGGAUAGUGGAAUUCCUAGUGUAGCGGUAAAAUGCGCAGAUAUUAGGAGGAACACCGGUGGCGAAGGCGGCUAUCUGGACAGUAACUGACGCUGAGGCGCGAAAACACGGGGAGCAAACAGGAUUAGAUACCCUGGUAGUCCGUGCCGUAAACGAUGAAUACUAGGUGUAGGGGGUAUCGACUCCCUCUGUGCCGCAGUUAACACAUUAAGUAUUCCACCUGGGGAGUACGGCCGCAAGGUUGAAACUCAAAGGAAUUGACGGGG